AGUUCAUUAUCUCUUUAUUUCUUUGUUCCAAACUCUUAACAGCACUGCUUUAUUUCUGUUGAAGAAAUUUCACUGUUGAACAUGUUGAUUCAUCAGAAUGAAAAUGAUGAAGCCAACUUUCUGCCUCUUUGAAUAGGGUAUCAAUAAUAUAAGUAAGGAAUUUGAGGGUCAAUACAUCUAUGUGCAGUAAAAAAGCAACUAUUUUAUAAUGUCAUAUUGCAAUAUGUGAUUGCGACUGUUAUGUGCUGUACUAAAAUCUGAUGGCACUCAUGGAAAGAAUUUAUUACUUAGGAAAGAUACUUCAAUGUCUUCGAUGUUGGUAAUGCCGAAGAGCAGCAAUGUAGAAUGCAUGAACAGAGGAGUGGUUUUCGGUCAGCGUGAUCACAACUGUUAAGAGAUCCUAGUGCAACUCAGCCAGGGUCUACUGAUAAGCAUCAGCUCUACAUGAAGAGGAGGAACAGUAUCUUCUUCAUCAAAUUUAUCUGGAUGGGGAUAGGAAAAAUAGAAUGAAAACAAAUCCCAUGAUUCAAAAUGUCAUAAUGUUUUUUGGUCUUGGACAGCCUUAAAGCCAAAGAAGUUAAAAAAGAUUAAAGACAUUUGUGGGUGUGAGUACUCAGUAAACAGAGGUCUCUAAAAAAAGUGUCCUGAGCACAGAUUUGAGAAACUACUUCAAGACAUAAGACUGGAUAAAUGAAUACUCCAGAUUUAGUUUGGUAGAAUGUCAUCAUUUCAUGGUCAGUUGCUGAAGUAUAUCUGGAUGCCAUUUGGUUUGUCAUCUCCAUCCUGGUGUGUUCGUGGUCUCAGUAUGCUCUACCAUUACUCUCUAAGUACAUAUUUAAUGAGCACUGGGAUGUGGGAAAAGAGAAAGAGACUGCUUUGUAGCUGUGAAAAACUUCAACCUGGAACAUCAUGUAGCAUUGCCAUGGACUUUGCAUUCACUACCUUUUAUGUAAAGACACUAAAUAAAUCUACAUCUAGCACACAUGUAUAUCAAAUCCUUAGAGGAUUGUAUAGUUAUGAAGGAGUCCUAAUCAAACACUGUAAAAUGGCAACAGGAUGUUAGAAGUUUCCAGUGAUUUACAGUGGGGUUGACCCUAUUCCAAUUUAGAAGAAUGGAAAAACUGUCAUGGAGUGGAAUGUACAGGGGUCAGACUGGUGUCACUGCAGCACUGUUUGUGAUGAUCUCAUUUUCUUACAGAUUUAAACCAUUGGCAAGAACAACAGACAUCCUAAGUAAACAAAUAAAAGACCCAUAG
rnacentral:lncRNA from 7 species